UACGGAGGGGGCCAGCGUUGUUCGGAAUCAUUGGGCGUAAAGGGCGCGUAGGCGGCUUUGUAAGUCCGUUGUGAAAUCCCCCGGCUCAACCGAGGAACUGCGACGGAUACUGCUUGGCUUGAGUCCCGGAGAGGGUAGCGGAAUUCCCAGUGUAGCGGUGAAAUGCGUAGAUAUUGGGAGGAACAUCGGUGGCGAAGGCGGCUACCUGGACGGGUACUGACGCUGAUGCGCGAAAGCUAGGGGAGCAAACAGG
rnacentral:rRNA from 1 species